GACGAACGCUGGCGGCGUGCUUAACACAUGCAAGUCGAACGCUGAAGCGCAGCUUUUUUUGGGUGGAUGAGUGGCGAACGGGUGAGUAACACGUGAGUAACCUGCCCCCUUCUUUGGGAUAACGCACGGAAAGGGGUGCUCAUACUGGAUAUUCACUGGUCUUCGCGUGGGGGUUGGUGGAAAGGGUUUUUCUGGUGGGGGAUGGGCUCGCGGCCUAUCGGCUGGUUGGUGGGGUGAUGGCCUACCAAGUCUUUGACGGGUAGGCGGCAUGAGAGGGUGAACGGGCACAUUGGGACGGAGAUACGGCCUAGACUCGUAAGGGAGGGAGAAGUGGGGACUAUUGCACAAAGGGCGCAAGACUGAUGCAGCGAGGAGGCGGGAGGGAUGGAGGCCGUAGGGUUGUGAACCUCGGUCGCAAAUGGUUAAGCCGAAACAAGGGUGGUGGUGAGGGUAGUGGGUAAAGAAGCGCCGGCUAACUACGUG
rnacentral:rRNA from 1 species